rnacentral:rRNA from 1 species
UACGUAGGGUGCGAGCGUUUGUCCGGAAUUAUUGGGCGUAAAGAGCUCGUAGGCGGCUUGUUGCGUCGGCUGUGAAAACCCAUGGCUCAACCGUGGGCUUGCAGCCGAUACGGGCAGGCUAGAGUUCGGUAGGGGAGACUGGAAUUCCUGGUGUAGCGGUGAAAUGCGCAGAUAUCAGGAGGAACACCGGUGGCGAAGGCGGAUCUCUGGGCCGAUACUGACGCUGAGGAGCGAAAGCGUGGGGAGCGAACAGG